rnacentral:lncRNA from 1 species
AAUAUGCUUGGCCCAGAGAGUGACACUAUUAGAAGGGGUGGCCUUGUUGGAGGAAGUGUGUCACUGUGGGCGUGGGCUUGAAGAUCCUCGUCCUAGCUGCCUGGAAGCCAGUCUUCUCCUAGCAGCCUUCAGAGGAAGAUGUAGAACUCUAGCUCCUCCUGCACCAUGCCUGCCUGGAUGCUGCCAUGCUCCUGCCUUGGUGAUAAUGAAUGGAUUGAAGCUCUGAACAUAUCCACUCUCUUCUGCAGCAUCAAAUGGAAGGUUCAUGCACUCAUCAAAGCCAGCAGAACAACCCUCCAUCCUCCUGCUGCUCAUGGAGCCACGCUGGAAUGUGGCACACAUUCUGAAGUAGCAGAAGAUGAGGUUGGCGAGCUCCACCAUCACAUCCUGCAUGGCCCUGGGCAUGGUACACAAUGGUGGAAUCUCACCAUGAGUUCAGUUCCACUGUCUGCAAGUCAGAAGCUGUACUCUUUGACUGUAUGUAUAUUCAUUUCAAAUAACCACAUCCAGAAGCAGCUCUAGGAAGGUGUAAGAGACAUACGGAAAUUGCCAGACUCGUACCUUAAUUAUUUGGCACAGCCAGUUGCGAGUUUAGGAAAGAAAACAAGCACAUGAAGGAAAACAUUUGGAAGCUUGCGUCCUUUUGUAUAAAAUCCUCAUGGUGGAUGAAAGAGAAGGUAAAGGUGGAUCCAUCUCUGAGAACUGAACCAGGUGUUGACCUAAUGUCUGCUUAUGGAGAUGUUUGAAGGAAACCCGCACCAUUGGUGAUAACAAGCUCAGAGCUGAGGAAUCAUAACUUGGUUAAGGGUCUUUAAAUGGACUAGAUCUGCUUGAAAAUUGUAGGCAUACAUUUUUUUUGCAACCUACUUUUAACCAGGGUAUGCGCAUAUCUACACAGCAUUGUACUGGCUGGUUUUGUGUGUCAACUUGAUACAGCUGGAGUUAUCACAAAGAAAAGAGCUUCAGUUGAGGAAAUGCCUCCAUGAGAUCCAACUGUAAGGCAUUGUCUCAAUUAGUGAUCAAGGGGAGAGGUCCCCUUGUGGGUGGUGCCAUCCCUGGGCUGGU